CGGUGUUUAACUGGCGUGAUGUGGGACGUCCUACCGGUGGGCUUAGCCUCGCGAGGGGCGGCCCAACUAAUAUCCCGUCGCGGUGCUCUUUACUGAGUGUCGAGUCGGGCCGGUACGUUUACUUUGAACAAAUUAGAGUGCUUAAAGCAGGCUAUCCUCGCCUGAAUACUGCGUGCAUGGAAUAAUGGAAUAGGACCUCGGUUCUAUUUUGUUGGUUUUCGGAACCCCGAGGUAAUGAUUAAUAGGGACAGAUGGGGGCAUUCGUAUUGCGACGUUAGAGGUGAAAUUCUUGGAUCGUCGCAAGACGGACAGAAGCGAAAGCAUUUGCCAAAAAUGUUUUCAUUAAUCAAGAACGAAAGUUAGAGGUUCGAAGGCGAUCAGAUACCGCCCUAGUUCUAACCAUAAACGAUGCCAGCUAGCGAUCCGCCGAAGUUCCUCCGAUGACUCGGCGGGCAGCUUCCGGGAAACCAAAGCUUUUGGGUUCCGGGGGAAGUAUGGUUGCAAAGCUGAAACUUAAAGGAAUUGACGGAAGGGCACCACCAGGAGUGGAGCCUGCGGCUUAAUUUGACUCAACACGGGAAACCUCACCAGGCCCAGACACCGGAAGGAUUGACAGAUUGAUAGCUCUUUCUUGAUUCGGUGGGUGGUGGUGCAUGGCCGUUCUUAGUUGGUGGAGCGAUUUGUCUGGUUAAUUCCGAUAACGAACGAGGCUCUAGCCUGCUAAAUAGGCGUACCUUAUGGUAUCGCGAAGGCCCCCGGCUUCGGCCGGUGGGUUUUUACUACCAACGUACAAACAAAUCUUCUUAGAGGGACAGGCGG
rnacentral:rRNA from 1 species